rnacentral:rRNA from 1 species
UACGGAGGGUGCGAGCGUUGUCCGGAAUCAUUGGGCGUAAAGGGCGCGUAGGUGGCCCGGUCAGUCUUUGGUGAAAGCGCGGGGCUCAACCCUGCGUCGGCCAGGGAUACUGCCGCGGCUCGAGCACUGUAGAGGCAGGCGGAAUUCCGGGUGUAGCGGUGGAAUGCGUAGAUAUCAGGAAGAACACCCGUGGCGAAGGCGGCUCUCUGGAACGCAACUGACGCUGAGACGCGAAAGCGUGGGGAGCAAACAGG